rnacentral:rRNA from 1 species
CGUAGGGCGUGGAAGUGGUGCGUCCACUCCGGCCAGCACGACAACGCCACCUGGGGCCACGCCGCCGCCGCCGACUUCGCGCCCGUGCCCAGGAUGUGCCGCCUCGUCAUGGCCAACUACGCCCCGCCCGACCUCCUCACUUGCCGCCCCCUCGACCCCUCAAACAUCGUGCGCCGCCGCACCUACGCCGAUAUGGGGGGCCGGGUCACGCCCUACCUCAUCUACCUCGACCACUCGCACGCCGACUUCGUGCUCGCGCUGCGCGGCCUCAACCUCGGCCACGAGUCCGACUACGCGCUGCUCCUCGGCAAGCGCCGCUUCGACGGUGGCUACAUCCACAACGGCCUCCUCCGCGUCGCCGGCUGGGUGCUCGACAGGGAGUGCGACCUGCUCCGGGACCUUGUCGACCGGUACCCCGCCUACACGCUCACCUUCACGGGCCACUCCCUCGGCGCCGGCGUCGCCGCCAUGCUCACCAUGGUCGUCGUGCUCAACCUCGACAAGCUCGGCAAGGUCGAGAGGCGCCGCACCAGGUGCUACGCCGAUGUCAUCAACUCCGUCGUGCUGUAG